GACGACUUUUUAAUGGAGACAAAAGCGCCUGGCGAGGAGAGCACUUUUCGCCUUCAGUUGUUUGGAACUGAGGUUGGAGAGUGAGUACCUACGCCCUCAUGCUGAUGGCCUUGCUCAUAUCAGGUGUCUGAAGGAGACAGCUUCUGAAGAUCAGUGUCCUGGUGACUGAUGGAACGUCCACUGCAGGUUAAAGGCCAGCGGUCCUCCAGAGACCCCAACACUUCACAUCUUCAGUUGGAUAUGAUGCCUGACUCAAAUGAGUUCAUAUGUAUGGAUUCUCUGAACAUGUGCUUUGCUCUCUGAGCCUGAGUAUAUGCCAGUCUGUGGAAAGGAAGUGAUGAUGUCCAUUUCAAGGCAUUACUUUGAGCAUAUGAAGAGGAAAUGAAGAUAACCAACAUGUGGAACAUUAGAGAAGGUAUGGACUCUGAGCCUCAGAAACAAGAUCCAGUAGAGAAGAACCAAGUGUGAUAAUGAGUCUACUAGACAUUUUCCUGGAGCAAAAGAAGAGAGAGUAAUAUAUGCAAUGUUAUCCAGAAAGAGGAGGUUUGCAAAGGAACACUGCAAUAGGAUACUGGCGCCAGGUACAUCAUCCACCUUUGGGUAAGUUUUUUCCCCUGUGCUGGUUGUUUUUCAGAUAAAAUCUGUGAGAUAGAUAUAGAGGUAAAUGAGAUCCCAUUUAGGAAAGAGCCUUUCCUUUUGAGACCUUAGUUGGGAAGGAACAAGCGGUGAUUUCCAAAUAAUUACUUUCCAGUCUUCAGCUCUUAUCACACUCUAUCAGAUGAACUCAGUAGUCCUCAUACUGUUUCUUAAUUGAAUGACCACUUAUGCAUGGUCAUAGGAUGAUUGGAACUUAAAACUUGCAAAAAGUAGGAUUCUUGACCUUAGGAAACCAUGAAGAACUCAGCUUUCCUGAAUGUCUGCUACUUUUAUCCUCAUGUAUUUUGCACAACAUUCCAGGGAGGUAGAGCAUGAUUUCCACACCAUUUUGUAGCUGGUGAAGUGGUGAUGUACAGAGAUUAGGUAACCUGGCUGGGGGUCAUCCUGCUACUAAGAAAAGCAGAGACUAGUACCUUACAUAUCCACACACAGACUGCAUGAGGCUCAGCCACACAUCAGGCCAAAAUCAAGUAAAUUUUGCUUUCCUGCUGACCUGUGUCACUUCUAUAAUCUGUAUCUUCAUUUCUGAUUCCAGGAUGCCGAGUCUGCCUAUAUUUUUGCAAGACAAUAAACCUGAUUUGACCUCAAUUUCCUAUUCUGUAAAACCUGGGGAGUAUGAAAAGAACACAAGCAAAAUUUUGGAGUUAAUGGAUACAUCAACUUUGGUUUGGUGAUUAUUAUGGGUUUAUGCAUAGGUCCAAAUUCAAGAAUAUGUAUAUGUUAAACAUGUGUAAUUUUUUGGCAUAUCAAUUAUACCUCGGUAAAGCUAAAGCAAAGAAACAAGGGACUCUGUUUAAACUAUUAUAGGUACUUUUGAAAGCAGAGUCCCCAGACCACCUAUAUGUCAUAAGGAAUAUGCACUCUCUAAUAGAGGGACAAUUCUCCUGUUGAGGAUUAAUACUUGAAGGAGCAGUCCCCGAAUACAUACAGACAGGAAGUGCACAGACUCUUUAAUGGACACUGACAAAUCAACCUGGAAAGACGUACUGAUUGAGGGCCCUACCAGGAGUAUCAGAACGUGUAGUAUCAGUAGUAGUAGUAUCAGAACGUGUAGGGUCAUGCUCACCCACUGGAAAUACUCCAUAGUUUAUUGUUAUACUUUCUGAUGUGAUGAAUGGAAAGUCUAUUGCCAUCAUUUUUAACUGCAUAUCAAGGUUAUUUAAAAUAAAAGCUUUCUUCCUAUACAAGACUCUAUCAGUCAUAACUGUCAUUUUUUUCACUGCAAAUGGGUCUAGUUACAUAGGAAGCCUAACAAUGAGUGACAGUCACAUAAGCCUACAGUUUCUCCUAAUGCUACUGCCUGCUUGUAAGCUCCAGUUGUGUGUGUGUGUGUGGACUCCGGGGACUCCCAAUGACAGUGUGUAUCCCUGGAAAGAGGUUGAGAAUAUCUCUCUGUGGUGUAUGCUGAGUUCAGGAUUAGAGAGGAGCUGGAUUUGCUCAUUCUCAAGUCUUUCUAAAUGGCACACAGCUAGACCACAACGUGCUUCUGAGCAGACAGUAGUCUCUUUCCCCAGAUGGAAGGCAAGCCUGUCUGCACUCACCUGCUCAGGUCAGGGAUGGAUCCCUCCAGGACGUAAGGUGUGGCUGUCUGACUAAAUCUGCUGCUGAGCUCUGAAAUUGAGGGCUCCCAUCUUGCAGCCUCAGUUGCAGAGUCCUGAGGAGCUAUAUCCUCUCAACCACUCACCACACAGGUUCAGUCAUCUCCCUGAGGAGUUCCACACUCACGGAUAAAAAUCCUUAAAUUCUUAUCACAUCUUUGACACACUGUGCGUCCAUCUAUUCUUCCAUUCAUAUAUUUGACAGGCAUUAGGAAGAAACUCUACGUCACUCUUUGGCUAAGUCUUAGGCUUCUCCAGAACGGAAACAAGGAAGUAAGGCGUGAGAAGCCUGGUGUGGUACCUUGAGAUGUUACAUCUAAGAAGAGAUGGAUCCUUCUCAUUAAGAUCUCAGCCUGCUCAAGUGUUCUAUAAAUGGUGAUUUUUACAACUUCAUUUACUGCUGUGAGCCUCUGUCCACGUCUCUGGUUAGUGUCCUCUUGAUGUAUAUUCUUCCCUUCACACCAAAAUUUUACAAAGAAUUCUUGAUACUCAACUCACAUCUCCUUGCACCUGCCCUCGGACUCAAUCUUCAUCCCUUAUCUAAUGGGCUAUGUUCUCCCACACUUUUAAAUUUACCAUGACAGUGUCAAUAUUCACCUCUUUGUCACAUUUAUAGAUCAUGAGUCAAAUGAAGACAAACAGAUAUUUCUCCAGGAGGUAUGUCUGUCCCCAGGACAGAAUUCAUUUGCUUGUAUAUAGACAAAGAUCAUAUUGUCAUGCUAUCAGUUACCAAAAAGGUCAAAUUGUAAAAUACCUUCCAUAGAAUCAGUCAGACAGUGUGAAGGCUGUGCCUUAGACAUCGCACUUUCAAAUAAAGCAUAUGCUUUCCCUUUUACA